AACGAACGCUGGCGGCAUGCCUAACACAUGCAAGUCGAACGAGAUCUUCGGGUCUAGUGGCGCACGGGUGCGUAACGCGUGGGAAUCUGCCCUUUGGUUCGGAAUAACAGUUGGAAACGACUGCUAAUACCGGAUGAUGACGAAAGUCCAAAGAUUUUUCGCCAGAGGAUGAGCCCGCGGAGGAUUAGCUAGUUGGUGUGGUAAAGGCGCACCAAGGCGACGAUCCUUAGCUGGUCUGAGAGGAUGAUCAGCCACACUGGGACUGAGACACGGCCCAGACUCCGACGGGAGGCAGCAGUGGGGAAUAUUGUACAAUGGGCGAAAGCCUGAUCCAGCAAUGCCGCGUGAGUGAUGAAGGCCUUAGGGUUGUAAAGCUCUUUUACCCGGGAUGAUAAUGACAGUACCGGGAGAAUAAGCUCCGGCUAACUCCGUGCCAGCCGCCGCAGUAA
rnacentral:rRNA from 1 species